UGAUGGUGAUGAGGAUAAUUUCUGAGCAUGCCUUUAAAUCUUUCCCAAGCUUGGUAGAGAUUUUCUCUAUCUUUCUGCCUGAAACUCAAUAUUUCACUUCUUAAAUG
rfam:Capsicum annuum cultivar Zunla-1 chromosome 1, whole genome shotgun sequence